rnacentral:lncRNA from 1 species
CGCUUCUGCUCAGAGGAGAAGGAGGCAUGAGCCAGGGCACACACCUCUGAGUGCUUGUGCCAGAUCACAGCACUUUCCCGCCCAGAGGUCCCCACAACAUACGUUUACAAAGCACGUGUCUUGGAGUUCCUGUUGUGGUGCAGCGGUAAAGAACCCGACUAGUAUCUAUGAGGAUGCGGGUCCCAUCCCUGGCCCUGAUCCUUAACCUUAGGAUCCUUAACCCACUGAACGAGGGCAGGGAUCAAACCUGCGUCCUCAUGGAUACAAGUCAGGUUCAUUACCGCUGAGCCAGGAUGGGAACUCCCAGCACAGUGGAUUUAAAUGAUCACUAUUGACUUAUGUCUUCCUCUCCACGUGUAUGUUCAGGCAGUAUGUGUAGUGAUUCAAGGAGUUUAAAUCCUGGCUCCACAUGUACCUUUUUGACCCUAGAUGUGUUUCUUAACCACUGUGCUACAAUUUCUUCACAUUUACAAUGGAACUUUUACAGGUACUUAAUCAAAUUGCUGUGAAGAUUAAAUUCAUCAAUACAUUAAAAGGGCCUGACAUAUAGAAAGCACGCAGUCAACAUUAGCUGUUCACUUUCCUUUUUGCUGGGAGGCCUCUUCUCUAAACCUGAUCGAACCAUUAGACUUGAGGCAGGUUCCAUUGCAUCUUGACCAGACACAGUUGUCUUAGGGACAAAAUAAAAUGGUAUAAAUGACAGUGCCUGGAAUGUGGCGGGAAGACAGUGAAACAAAGAGAUGUCAAAAAUAAAUCCUCUCAAGCAACCUUGUGUUUCUGCAGUGGGACUGGGAGGGAAGAUGGCGAAACCUAAGAAAUUGCUUUUACUGUAUUUAAGCUGUCAAAGUGUGCGGUUGAUGGAUUCCAUAAAUUCAAGAAUUGCACAGUUCCUUUGGGUUUAAGAACCUGUUCAUUGAUAAAGCCAGGUGUCAGUAGAAAAUUUCAAACGACCCUUUACCAAGACAAUAGAUAGUUUGUGAGCGUCUCAAGAUUUGUGACAGUAACUUAAAAAUACCAUUGGACACUGUUUCCUUCCAAGAAAAUAAUCCUUAGAAAAAAAUAUUAUAUUGGAAAAUUGAGCAGAAGGUGUAGGGGUCUCCUAUAUCCCCUCCUCCACACAUGCAUAGCUUCCCCCAUUAUUAACAUUCCCCAUCACAGUGGUACAUUUGCUGCAGUUGAACCCACUUGACCCAUCAAAAUUACCCAAAGUCCAUGGUUUACAUUAGGGUUCAACUCUUGGAGGUGAACCUUCUGCAGGUUUGGAUAAAUGCAUGAUGGCAUAUGUCCAUCAUUAUGGUAUCAUGCAAAAUAGUUUUGCAGCCCUAAAAAUCCUCUGGGCUCUGUUUAUUCAUCCGUACUUCCCUAGUCCCUGCCAACCACUGAUCUCUUUACUGUCUCCUGAGUUUUAUCUUUUCCAAAAUGUUAUAUAGUUAGAAUCAGGUAGUAUAUAGCCCUUUCAGAUUGACUUCUUUCACUUAGUAAGAAGCAUUUAGGCUUCCUCCAUGUCUUUGCAUGACUUGAUAGGUCAUUUCUUUUCAGCACUUAGUAAUAUUCCAUUGUCUAGAUAAAAGGUGACUUACCCACAUGCUCCUGAAGGACAUCUUAGUUGCUUUCAGGUGCUGGCAGUAUUGAAUAAAGUUGCUAUAUAGCCACAUGCAGGCUUUUGUGUGCACAUGUUUUCAAGUGAUUCUGUAUUAAUAUCUGUAUUCUUCCCCUGAAAGGAAUGAAAAGAUACUUUGAAGUGGUGAUUUAUCACAUCAUUAGCCUUCAUUCAUCCCUCAGUUUAUAGAUGAAAUCAAUAGCUGAUUACUUGGCAUCACUUUGAAAGAACAAGCAGAGAGAGGGCUUCCUAAGAAGGAUGGGCGCCCAGAGAGGCAGAUUUCGUACAGGAGCCAGAACCAGAGCCCUGGAUAGAGGGGACCAGGAAGAGGGGGAGACCUGGUACCACAAAGCCCAGCUUGAGAGUUGUUCCUCUUCUUUCUCUUACCUUCUCAACUCUGUCAAGGUCUGAAAACCCAUGUUACCACAUGACUGUAUUUUUAAUGUGUUUAACUUGUCUUACUUCAUUUGCUCUUAAGACAGUUUUAUUUCAUCACAAACACCAGUCUUCUGAGAAACACUCAGCUGCUAUGUCCUGCCUGUCUUUUAUCUUUGGCUUCAUGUUUGCCUCGAGAUAUCCCACAGCCACUCCUCCUGUUCACUAACUUUGGCAGGAGGGCGCGUGUGAACCCUCCACCUGCAGGCAGAAUAAUCUAGAGGCAAUUCCCCCAGAAGCCUAGAAACAGCAAAGCCCUGUGAAGACACUGAAAUUACGAGAGUAACUCCUUGUCCCGUCAGCAUCAAAGGCCUCAAAUUUUCUUUCCAAACCCAAUUACAAAGAGGGAGAAAUGUGAUUAGAGUAAAAUUUUCAUGUGUAUAAUAUUUGUGGCACUGUGUAGCUGAAGCCAUGGUCCUCUCUUUGCCUCCCGAUCCUUGUCUCCUACCUGGUUCCAUAGGGCGUUGCCAGGUCACUAGACAGGCCACCUAUUGAGGUAAUUUACAUUAAACAGUUAGAGGGGGGUUCCUUUGUGGCUCAGUGGGUUAAAGACCUGAUAUUGACUCUCUGAGGAUGCAGGUUGGAUCCCUGGCUUUGCUCAGUGGGUUAAGGAUUUGGUGGUAGGUUGCACAUGUGGCUUGGAUCCAGUGUUGCCAUGGCUGUGGCCUGGGCCACAGCUGCAGCUCUGAGUUGAUGUGUGGCCUAGGAACUUCCAUAUGCCACAGGUGUAGU